GAGUUUCUCCAGGCUACCCUCCCCAAGAGCCUUUGGCCAAGGGUGCGGCGAACGGCGUAGCCCGGGGCUUGAGCCCUGGGGCUUCGCACGGAUUUGAGAAAAUGGCACUGAAUCCCAAAUGAAAGAGGAUAAAGGAGUUCAUAAAAGAACUAAGAUUACUCAAUGACUCCAUUUCAGCAGUCAUUGAUCUGGUUGAUUUUGUCCUGGAAAUCCCCCUGCUUUGUCAUGUGCUGGGCUGCUGUUUGCAAGCACGUUGCCAUUUGUCUUCUUACAUGUCUCCUCAUGGAAUGAACAUGGCGCUCCAGCACCAGACAUCCUGUCACAUUACAUGCAGGAGGAAGCGAGGGAGGAUAUCAACCUUAAGAUAGGCAUUAGAAGAGUAAAAGAUUUCCCCGAAAUCCCUUGUAGACUUAAGGUUGGUGUCAUGCAGCCACUACUCCUAACUUUAUGGAAGAUAAGGCAAGAAAGGAAUCCCUGAAGGCAAGAAAGAGCCAACUUCUUGGAUUUUGAGCAAUUAGGUAGACUUUUCUAAAUUUGUACCAGAGACAGGUAUGCUUGAAAGAUACAACCUCCAAGUGAAGAGUCAGUUGAGCCUGAGGUAAAAUAAUUUGAAAUUCAUUUAAAAAUAUUUCUGGAGUAUGAGCUAUGUGCAAGGUGCUGUAAAUAUUUUGCAUAUAAGCAAAGUAUUAGGAUUGCAGUGGGUGCUAUGAUAUUCUGCUGGAAACCUCUUCUGGAAUGAAGGACUUAAUUCUCUUGACUGCUGACAGAAGUUGACCUUCAGCUGUCAGUCCUCUCUUGGGAUUGCCUUUGAAGAAAACUUCUCACCCAAGGUUAGGUCUUGUUCCAGGUACAAAGGCCCAGACCUCUCAUCUCAACCUGGAAUACCCCAGCUCCAGAAUUCCCAGUGGUGUCAGCUGAGGCCUUUACUGGAACAGCCUUACAGUUCAGCGUUCCCCUCUCUGCUCAAGCCUGCUUUCCUGCCCUCACUUUCACAUGUGCCUGGUCCCAGGUACUCCCUAAGGAACAUCCUGCUCACUUAUCAACAUCUUAAAAUCUUAAGGAAAAAAAAUCUUCAGAUGCAGUGGUUUUGUGUAGCUUCUUGUCUGUCACGUUUUGUAAAUACUGAAGAAGCUUUGACCAAUUUGACUUAGAGAUGGGAUGUAACUUUGCUUACAAAAAUUUCUAUUAAACUCCUGCUUAAGGUGUUCUCAUUUUCUGUGAGCACACCAAAAGUGAAAAAUAAAUGUGAUUAAAA
ensembl:lncRNA